AGAAUCAACGCUGGCGGCGUGCCUAACACAUGCAAGUCGAACGAGAAAGGGGUAGCAAUACCCUGAGUAAAGUGGCGCACGGGUGAGUAACACGUGACUAACCUACCCUUGAGUGGGGGAUAACUGAGGGAAACCUUAGCUAAUACCGCAUAAUACCCACGGGUCAAAGGAGCAAUUCGCUCGAGGAGGGGGUCGCGGCCGAUUAGUUAGUUGGCGGGGUAAUGGCCCACCAAGACGAUGAUCGGUAUCCGGCCUGAGAGGGCGCACGGACACACUGGAACUGAAACACGGUCCAGACUCCUACGGGAGGCAGCAGUGGGGAAUUUUGCGCAAUGGGGGAAACCCUGACGCAGCAACGCCGCGUGGAGGAUGAAGUCCUUCGGGACGUAAACUCCUUUCGAUCGGGACGAUUAUGACGGUACCGGAAGAAGAAGCCCCGGCUAACUUCGCGCCAGCAGCCGC
rnacentral:rRNA from 1 species